UGGGGGAUAUUGCACAAUGGGCGAAAGCCUGAUGCAGCGACGCCGCGUGGGGGAUGAAGGCUUUCGGGUUGUAAACCUCUUUCGCUAUCGAACAAGGCCCGCUUAGGGUGGGUUGAGGGUAGGUGGAGAAGAAGCGCCGACUAACUACGUGCCAGCAGCCGCGGUAAUACGUAGGGCGCGAGCGUUGUCCGGAAUUAUUGGGCGUAAAGGGCUUGUAGGCGGCUUGUUGCGCCUGCUGUGAAAACGCGGGGCUUAACUUCGCGCGUGCAGUGGGUACGGGCAGGCUUGAGUGUGGUAGGGGUGACUGGAAUUCCAGGUGUAGCGGUGGAAUGCGCAGAUAUCUGGAGGCACACCGAUGGCGAAGGCAGGUCACUGGGCCAUUACUGACGCUGAGGAGCGAAAGCAUGGGUAGCGAACAGG
rnacentral:rRNA from 1 species